rnacentral:lncRNA from 1 species
CACAGCUCCAUGCCAAGUUCUGGCCUUUGAUGUGGUUUCCCACAAGCCGGAACCAUGACCCCAUCCCCAGAGUCGCCCGGCCAGAAGAAAGCCUCCAGCAUCCGCACUCAGACAACCACAAGCCAGCGUGUCCCGGUCCCCCAGCCUUGUGUUAAUCUCACAUUCACUCAUCCGACACUUACCGCUGGGUGCCUCAGAAGGAGCUGCAGACACAAGAGCGAGCAGACAGAGGGGAGCUCCUGCGUGGUAUGGGGCAUAGAGCUCACUGCACAGGGACAUGUGUGAUGACAACUCGUGUGUUCCUGUAAAGGACAAGGAGAGGGAGCCCAGUGACAGUGUCCUCAGGACUCUGACCUGCACUGGGGCUGCACACAGGCUUCCCUUAGGAUCAGGGCCACAGCGACAGGAUCUACACCACCGGGAUGUAAGUCGCCUCCCGCAUCUUCCCCCAGAUCACCGCUCACUACAGAAGGAACAGGGGCACUUUUACGAGGGAGAAAUAUGUCACCACUUUCACCACUGGGCAGUGGUCACACCACCACCAAGCGGACGGCUGGGACGUGCUCGGUGCUGUCCCAACAGGGGCCAAUGUCCUUCAGCUGCAUCACUGCCACACCUGCUGCCUGACUCUGACACUGAGGGGCCACCAGUGACCCAAAUGGACAGGCGGCCCAGCCUGCACACUCCAUGCUCACCAGUGUCCCAGGGGACAGGCUGAGCACCCACUCCAGGCUCAAGGUCUCUCCCUUUGAAGGUGGCGAAGGGGCCACAUGCCAAGGAACGCAGACACCUGCAGGACAGUUCUCCCCGGGGGGGGGGGCGGUGCCCAAAGGACCAGCCCUGCUGCUACCCCGAUUUGGGGACCCCCAGAGCUCUGAGAUAAUACAUUUGUGUUGUGAAAGCCACUGAGUUUUGGUGGUUGUUUACAAACAAGGGGAAAAGAAAAGGACAGGUGGCCAAACAGAAACAGAAUUGAUGUGACCUUGUGUAACUGCUUUUUCGACUUGUCCAUGAUUCAAAGUGAC